CCUUCCCGCUACUUAUGAUUGUCUGAGAUAAUGAGUGGGCUGGACAUGCUGAGAGAUAAGUUUGAUUGGUCUGCUUUGCAUCUUGUGUCUAUAAAAUGAGCUGCUCGUUAUGAAUAGAUAAUCCUUUCUACUGCAGUUUUUUUCUAAAGAUAUAAUGUUAGCCAUGGAGAACUGCAAAUAUGUUGCUACAGCUCUCACUAACAUUGCUGCCCUGAAUUUAUCAGGUGCUACCGACGCUAUCGACAACGGUCAGUGAGAACCAGUUGUGAUGGGCUACUUUCUGGAUGACAAUCGUGCCAUGUUGACUCUUACUCAGAAAAUGAAUCAGACCGAUGAGGAAAUCCCUGAUUUAGGUAAAAACAUUUUAGUUAAAGAAGACAUUGUAGAGUCUUCUGAUGACAGUGAUAGGGAAGAAACGGCGAUCAACAUUUGUCACGGAAGAAGUUUACUGAGUUUUGAAAUCAGUGGAAGACAACGGGCCAAACAAGCUGGGCAAACUAAACAGAAAUGACACAGGAUGUCUUAUUUUAAUAAAAGGGGUUGCAGUCUGCCGUGAAGCUUUCAUCCAUAUAUACGUAAUUUGUCUUUCAGCAUCAGUAGAACAUGCCUGACUCUCCUACACCAGUCAUACAGGGAGAAUAGUCUAAUGCCUCCCAUCAAAAAGAGAUCUGGCCCAAGCAAGCAAAGGCAGCAGAGCAGUCAUCAACUACAUGCACCAUUUCUUCACCAACUACGGAGUUGGAGGAAACAUGUGUGGAUCUGAAUUGUGAUAACUGCAGUGGCCAAAACAAGAACACGUUUGUGUUCUAUGGACAUCACAUGCCCUGCACCAAAGUCAAGGGCAGGACAGAAACAGUCUCUCUCUAAACACAUACGUUUGCUGCUACUAUUUUUAUUUUUUUGUCCUGCUGCUCAGCCACUUGACCCCUGAUUGUAUGCAUAUAAAUACCUUGUUUAUCACUGAUAUUGUUAUUAAUAUUGUUCUUGUACAUGCUGUAUAUUAUUUGAUUUAUAUUGACUAUCUAUUUCUGAUAUUUCUACUCUGCAAGUAACCAUUUGGCUGUACCGUUUACACCUUCUGUGGAGACCCAUCCACUUAGCAAGACUUAGAAAAAUAUUGAUAUAUAAAAUGAAUAUUGAUAUGUGUAGUCGUAACAUGAUUUUGUGACAUACCACAACCUCAUGUGACCGUAUCAAGUGUCCACCACAUAAAUAAACGGUGCAUGAAUCUGUUUUUGUACUGUACAUGUGCACCUCACACAGGUUUCAUCUCAGGUUGCAUGGCAUUAACUUGUAUGGAAUACUAUGUGAUAAGUGCGUGUGUAACAGUAUAUAAACAUGCUGCUGCUCCAGUUUCUGCUGUCCGGCCUGUGGCUAUGGAACCCUGACCUGUUCACCGGAUAAGCUACCUUAUCCCGGACCUACUGUUUCGACCCUCUCUAUAUCGCACUUACUGUCUUGACCUUUGAAUGCUCGGCUAUGAAAAGUCAACUGACAUUUACUACUGAGGUGCUGACCUGUUGCACCCUCUACAACAACUGUGAUUAUUAUUUGACCCUGCCGGUCAUCUAUGAACAUUUGAACAUCUUGAAGAAUGAUCUGGCCUUAAUGGCCCUGUACAGUUAUAAUCUCAGCCAGAAGAGGACAGGCCACUCCUCACAGCCUGGUUCCUAGGUUCCUGCCCUCCAAUUUGUAAGUCGCUCUGGAUAAGAGCGUCUGCUAAAUGACUUAAAUGUAAAUGUAGGGAGUUUUUCCUAGCCACCGAGCUUCUACAUCUGCACAGCUCUGACACACACACACACACACUUACCCCACCAGACGUGCCACCAGAGGUCUUUACACAGUCCACAAAUCCAGAACAAAUUAAAGAAAGCGUACAGUAUUAUAUAGAGCCAUUAUUGCAUGGAACUCCCUUCCAUCUCGUAUUGCUCAAAUGAACAACAAACCUGUUUUUUUUUUUUAACAAAGCAACACCUCACGGCACAACGCCUCUCCCCUGUUUGACCUAGAUAUUGUGUGUAUGUAUUGAUAUGGCGGCUAUGUGUGCCAUUUAAAACAUUUUUUGAUGUA